AAUUUCUGGGGCAUAUUGACUUGGAUACACGUGAAUCUAUAUCUCGCUUAAUUGGAAUUGCUUCCUGUUCACUUCCUCUUCGCAGUUUGUCUGAUCUUAUUAGUGAAUUGAUUGCCUCAAUCAGUACAACACCUAAGUUAAGGUUCGAGAUGCAGCAUGGUGUGCUAUGUACUUUAGGCUAUGUUACUGCAAAUUGCAUGUCAAGAACUAUUUCUAUCCCAGAAGCUUUACUCCAGAGUACACUUAAAUGUCUGGUCGAUGUUGUCAAUUUAGAGACUGCCACAUUGGCUUCUUUUGCAAUGCAAGCACUGGGCCAUGUUGGACUUUGUGUCCCAUUGCCUCUCCUGCUGGUAGACUCUAGUUCAGUUCCCAUAUUGGUUGUCUUGCGUGAAAAGUUAAGCAAGCUGCUUGCUGGUGAGGAUGUGAAAGCAGUGCAGAAAAUUGUUAUUUCGUUGGGACACUUGUGUGUCAAGGAAUUAUCCUCUUCACAUCUAAAUAUUGCUCUUGACCUGAUUUUCAGUCUAAGCCAGUCAAAGGUAGAAGAUAUCUUGUUUGGUGCUG
rnacentral:misc_RNA from 1 species